AUUGAACGCUGGCGGAAUGCUUUACACAUGCAAGUCGAGCGGCAGCGCGGCCUUCGGGCUGGCGGCGAGCGGCGAACGGGUGAGUAAUGCAUCGGAACAUGCCCAGUCGUGGGGGAUAACACUUCGAAAGAAGUGCUAAUACCGCAUACGUCCUGAGGGGGAAAGCGGGGGAUCGCAAGACCUCGCGCGAUUGGAGUGGCCGAUGUCAGAUUAGCUAGUUGGUGGGGUAAAGGCCUACCAAGGCGACGAUCUGUAGCUGGUCUGAGAGGAUGAUCAGCCACACUGGGACUGAGACACGGCCCAGACUCCUACGGGAGGCAGCAGUGGGGAAUUUUGGACAAUGGGGGCAACCCUGAUCCAGCCAUUCCGCGUGAGUGAAGAAGGCCUUCGGGUUGUAAAGCUCUUUCGGCAGGAACGAAACAGUGGGCUCUAACAUAGUCCGCUAAUGACGGUACCUGAAGAAGAAGCACCGGCUAACUACGUG
rnacentral:rRNA from 1 species